AUUGAACGCUGGCGGCAGGCCUAACACAUGCAAGUCGAACGAGUGGCGGACGGGUGAGUAAUGUCUGGGAAACUGCCCGAUGGAGGGGGAUAACUACUGGAAACGGUAGCUAAUACCGCAUACCAUCGGAUGUGCCCAGAUGGGAUUAGCUAGUCGGUGGGGUAACGGCUCACCUAGGCGACGAUCCCUAGCUGGUCUGAGAGGGUGACCGGCCACACUGGGACUGAGACACGGCCCAGACUCCUACGGGAGGCAGCAGUGGGGAAUAUUGCGCAAUGGGCGCAAGCCUGAUGGAGCCAGGCCGCGUGUGUGAAGAAGGUCUUCGGGUUGUAAAGUACUUUUGGCGGGGAAGCGUUACUCGCAGAGGAAGCACCGGCUAACUCCGUGCCAGCAGCCGCGGUAAUAC
rnacentral:rRNA from 1 species